GCUGGGCACAGUGGUGCAUGCUUGUAAUCCAGUGACUCAGGAGGCUGAGGCAGGGGGAUCAUAAGUUCCAGGCCAGCCUCAGCAACUUAGUGAGUUCCUGUUUCAA
rnacentral:sRNA from 1 species